rnacentral:rRNA from 1 species
GCAGUCGAACGAUGAAGCCCAGCUUGCUGGGUGGAUUAGUGGCGAACGGGUGAGUAACACGUGAGUAACCUGCCCUUAACUCUGGGAUAAGCCUGGGAAACUGGGUCUAAUACCGGAUAGGAGCGUCCACCGCAUGGUGGGUGUUGGAAAGAUUUAUCGGUUUUGGAUGGACUCGCGGCCUAUCAGCUUGUUGGUGAGGUAAUGGCUCACCAAGGCGACGACGGGUAGCCGGCCUGAGAGGGUGACCGGCCACACUGGGACUGAGACACGGCCCAGACUCCUACGGGAGGCAGCAGUGGGGAAUAUUGCACAAUGGGCGAAAGCCUGAUGCAGCGACGCCGCGUGAGGGAUGACGGCCUUCGGGUUGUAAACCUCUUUCAGUAGGGAAGAAGCGAAAGUGACGGUACCUGCAGAAGAAGCACCGGCUAACUACGUGCCAGCAGCCGCGGUAAUACGUAGGGUGCGAGCGUUAUCCGGAAUUAUUGGGCGUAAAGAGCUCGUAGGCGGUUUGUCGCGUCUGUCGUGAAAGUCCGGGGCUUAACCCCGGAUCUGCGGUGGGUACGGGCAGACUAGAGUGCAGUAGGGGAGACUGGAAUUCCUGGUGUAGCGGUGGAAUGCGCAGAUAUCAGGAGGAACACCGAUGGCGAAGGCAGGUCUCUGGGCUGUAACUGACGCUGAGGAGCGAAAGCAUGGGGAGCGAACAGGAUUAGAUACCCUGGUAGUCCAUGCCGUAAACGUUGGGCACUAGGUGUGGGGACCAUUCCACGGUUUCCGCGCCGCAGCUAACGCAUUAAGUGCCCCGCCUGGGGAGUACGGCCGCAAGGCUAAAACUCAAAGGAAUUGACGGGGGGCCCGCACAAGCGGCGGAGCAUGCGGAUUAAUUCGAUGCAACGCGAAGAACCUUACCAAGGCUUGACAUGUUCUCGAUCGCCGUAGAGAUACGGUUUCCCCUUUGGGGCGGGUUCACAGGUGGUGCAUGGUUGUCGUCAGCUCGUGUCGUGAGAUGUUGGGUUAAGUCCCGCAACGAGCGCAACCCUCGUUCCAUGUUGCCAGCACGUCGUGGUGGGGACUCAUGGGAGACUGCCGGGGUCAACUCGGAGGAAGGUGAGGACGACGUCAAAUCAUCAUGCCCCUUAUGUCUUGGGCUUCACGCAUGCUACAAUGGCCGGUACAAUGGGUUGCGAUACUGUGAGGUGGAGCUAAUCCCAAAAAGCCGGUCUCAGUUCGGAUUGGGGUCUGCAACUCGACCCCAUGAAGUCGGAGUCGCUAGUAAUCGCAGAUCAGCAACGCUGCGGUGAAUACGUUCCCGGGCCUUGUACACACCGCCCGUCAAGUCACGAAAGUUGGUAACACCCGAAGCCGGUGGCCUAACCCUUGUGGGGGGAGCCGUCGAAGGUGGGACCAGCGA